rnacentral:misc_RNA from 1 species
CAAAGAGAAAGAAGCUUUUUCGUUCACGAUUUGCCGGCGAUUAUUCUCCACUGUUGUUGGUUCCGCUUGAGGCAAAAUUCUCGUCUUCCUGCAUCAGCUUUCUCAGUGGUGUAGGUUAGCUUUGCUUCCAACGUAAAUGGCUUUUUUAGCAUCUUCGUCCGGCUUUGUUUCUGGUAUUGGUGGUUUUGUCAACACCGGUGGUCGACUCUGUUUCUAGCGAUCUCACCGCUUAUCUCGCUAGCGGGUUUGAUGACCUGCAAUUGAAGAUUGAAAGCUUGUCUAUUGAAGAAGAAGAAGAAGAAGAAAAUUCAAAGAUUCUCAUCAAAGCUAAAAUUGGAAUCUCGCCAUGAUUUCUUUGGGCGAAGUUUGAGACAUGUUGAUAGAUCAAGUUUUCUGGUGAUUUUGGUCGGAUUGAAGAUUCCCGACGACACACAAUUUUGCCAAUGAACGGAAACUCCUAUCUCUUCCACUUCCCACGUGUCUAGAAGCCUGGUUACCAUUGGAUACGUGUUUCAUGUGCUGUCUACAACAAGCUUUCCUUCAAUUUAGGGUUUCUGUUGGGCUUUUCUUUUAAUUUAGUGUUAUUGCCUGUUAAUUUUGGCUUUAUAUUAUUUGGCCUUGUAUAAAUAAAUAAAACACAGUUGUGAC